rnacentral:rRNA from 1 species
CUACGGGCUGCUCCAGUGGGGAAUAUUGGACAAUGGGGGAAACCCUGAUCCAGCAAUGCCGCGUGUGUGAAGAGGGCCUGCGGGUUGUAAAGCACUUUCGGUUGGGAGGACUGCUUCUAGCACUAAUAUUGUUGGAAGUUGACGUUACCUUCAGAAGAAGCACCGGCUAACUCCGUGCCAGCAGCCGCGGUAAUACGGAGGGUGCAAGCGUUAAUCGGAAUUACUGGGCGUAAAGCGCGCGUAGGCGGCUAGAUCAGUCGGGUGUGAAAGCCCCGGGCUUAACCUGGGAACUGCAUCCGAUACUGUCUAGCUUGAGUACAGGAGAGGAGAGUGGAAUUCCACAUGUAGCGGUGAAAUGCGUAGAUAUGUGGAGGAACACCAAUGGCGAAGGCAGCUCUCUGGCCUGAUACUGACGCUGAGGUGCGAAAGCGUGUGGAGCAAACAGGAUUAGAUACCCCCGUAGUC